GAAAGGGGAGCAAUCCCUGAGUACAGUGGCGUACGGGUGAGUAACACGUGGGUUACCUGCCCUCUGGUGGGGAAUAACCCUGGGAAACCGGGGCUAAUACCGCAUAACUCCGCGAGGAGAAAGCCGCAAGGCGCCGGAGGAGGGGCCCGCGGCCGAUUAUGCUGGUUGGUGGGGUAACGGCCCACCAGGGCUAAGAUCGGUAGCCGGCCUGAGAGGGCACACGGCCACACUGGCUCUGAAACACGGGACAGACUCCUACGGGAGUCAGCAGUGGGGUUUNUAGAAAUCUCCGCAAUAUCU
rnacentral:sRNA from 1 species